AGUCAUGAGCAGAAAAACCACCACCGUCGUGACGUCCACCACACUUCUCUGCUGAUGCAACCUAAGAAGAUUUUACCAAGACGAAAUAUAGAAAAGGCGAAGAAGAGAAAGAAGAUUAAAGAAUCAGAGAAACUUAAGAAAGAGAACAGUUAUUAUUCAAUUCACAACACGCAUAUUAGACAAGGUUUGAUCUCUUUUAUAGAGCGUACAAUCAGCUCUGCUCUCUCGCUAACUGUUCAACAGUUUGCAACCACACCAAUCAACAUUAGACGCGUAUCAUCAGCAAUCAGAUGCUUCAAUUCCUCUCCUCUCAUAACCCCGCAAGGGUCCAUAUUAAACAGGGUGUUGGGAUUGAAAUUGGUUCAUAAACAACAUGAAUUACCUUAUUGGAGCUUUCAAGCCCGCGUGUAAUAUCUCCAUUGCUUUUUCUGAUGGGAAAACUCGUAAGCAGGUUCCAAUGAAGAAGGAAAAUGGUCAUACUGUUAUGGUUCCUCUUUUCCAAAGUCAAGAAAAUAUUGCUGGAAAGGUGCUCUGUUUGAUAAUAAUGUUGUGUAUGUUAUUUAUUAUGGUAAAACAUCUUAUGGUUUUCCAAGUUGGUAUUGUUGACUUGGUGCUUUAAAAAUUUUCCAAUAUUUUAGAUUUCAAUAGAGCCACUUCAAGGGAAGAGGGUUGAACACAAUGGCAUCAAAGUUGAGCUUCUUGGUCAAAUAGGUGACUUUCUAUUCAACUUCUCCACAUGAUGAUUUCUAUUAAAUGAUGGGCGUAGGGUAUUUAGAAUGCCUUACAUUAUACACUGAUACCUUGUGCAAUUCAUGCCUUUAAUAAUUCCAGAUACUAUGGAAGAAUGUAUUGUUGAUGACUCAAUAGUGAAUUCCUAACACCUGCAACUUUUUUUUUUGUGUGUGUGGAUCAAAGUAGAAUUUAUUAACAGAAUGAAGGGAUUACGAGGAUGAUGUUCUAAAUGCAAUUAAAAAAAGAGAAAAGAUUUAUGAAGUAAUGCUUUCUAAUCUCAUUGAAUAUCAACAAGAGAAACCCCUUAAAAGCCUAUACUCAAAAGAAAGCUAGAAAGAUAAUCUAUACCAUAAAAUUUGGUUAAAUAGAACUUGGCCUUGAAAUAUCUUGCCAUUUUUGUAACGCCCUCACUUUAGGUAGUUCGUAUAUUUUAUUGUUCUGGUGACUAAUGUCUGUUUGGACGGCCAGAAUGUCUGGAAUUAUAUUUAAACUAGAGUGGAGUCAUAAAUAAUCUAAGUAAUGACUAAGAAAAAUUAAGGAGAAAUUAAAGAAAUGAAAUGCAAAGAGGUUAAAUGAGCCGCAGCUCCGGCAAUGGAUAACCCUAACGGGAAGCGACUGGGAAGAUAGUUGCCAACCUCAGACCCGUGGGGAACCCUGUGAAAUAAUUAUUUGGGACUUAAUUGAAGAAUUAUUGAGGUUUAGAUGACAAUAAAAUGCCAAGAAAAUUUAUGUUAAUCGAUACAGACAAUUAUAACUUGGUGAACACAAUGAAUGUCAUUUUGGUCAUUUCACCCUCAGAGUUGAUUUUUGACCAACAUGUCCAUUUAAGUAAGUGAGAAUUAUGUAAUAAAAUAUGAAGAAGUAUUGAUAAAAAAUUAAUUAGAAAUGAGUAAAAGAAAGAAGAAAAGAAAAAUAAAAACAAAAUGAAAUUAAAAUCUAAUUAUGACAUAUGCAUUAUGUAAUGAUGAUGUAAUUAAAAUUUCACAACCAAUUAAAAUUUGACAAACAUAAUUAAAAGAUAUAAAAGGAAUUAAAAGAGACAAAAAUAAGUCAUCUUCCUCCUCUCCCACUAGUUGGCCGAACUCCAUUGUUGCAAGCUUCUCACCAUUUCUUCUUCAUGCAAGCUUGAAUUCCCAUGCAAACACACUACAAAACUCAUAAACUCCAACACAAAAAUUAGUAAUUAGGCCUUGAAUAAGUGUUUGGCAGCCAAGAAAUAGAAGGAAAGUGAAGUUUAGACAAAGUCACAAUUGGGGCAAGAGAGGUUAGUGCAAAUACUAACUCCCUUCUCUCUUUAAUCUUUGUUAGGAAGUUGAUUUGAGUUAAAAUUUGUUGAAAAAUGGAAUAAAACAUGUAUGUAGGACCAAGCAUAAAAUUCGGCAAUCAUGAGUAAGGGGAGUGUUUGAUGAUUUUGUUUGAAUUAAAAAUUGUUUAGUGAUAGUCUUUGAUAAGUAUAUAUAGAUUAGAACUUCAAUUUCUAUGUAUAGUAUGAAAUUUAGACAUUGGAAGUUAGGGUUUUGAACCAAAAUUAAGGGUUUGUCAAAUUGUUGUUGAAUAGGUGUUAUUAAGGUCAAUUAAUGACCAUUUGAUGUGGUUUGACCUCAAAAUGGACUUGGUUGUGGAAUUGAAAUGCUUAAAGGAGAAGUGCUCCUUUGUGCUGGAAAUCUGAACUUUGAGUUCAGUAGGUUUGGGUAGCCAUAAGUAAAGAUAGAUAGUUUCAAUUGGUGUAAAGCCAAUUAGAGGUGAAACUAGGGACAUAAUGCCACAUUUUUCAUGAGGGACCCUGCCCAGAAAACCAGCACAAAGUGACCUAAAAUUGGCUUGAAUCCGGGUAACCAUAUGCUGGACUUAAAAAAAUGACCAUAUGAACAGUGAUUGUUCAAAUGGCCAUAACUCAUUGUAGAGAGGUUCAAAUGACCUGAUUCUUGAACCCAUGGAAAGCUUAGAUAAUGUAGAACAACUUUCAUGAAGAACAGAAACUCAAAUUCUGACCAUAACCUAUUCAAUGCCAACCAAAGUUAGGUUACCAAAUCUGCCAGAACCAAAAUUUGCCCAG
rnacentral:misc_RNA from 1 species